rnacentral:rRNA from 1 species
CCUACGGGAGGCAGCAGUGGGGAAUAUUGCACAAUGGGGGAAACCCUGAUGCAGCAACGCCGCGUGAGUGAUGAAGGCCUUCGGGUUGUAAAGCUCUGUCUUCUGGGACGGUAAUGACGGUACCAGAGGAGGAAGCCACGGCUAACUACGUGCCAGCAGCCGCGGUAAU